GCCUCCGUGGCGCAAUUGGAUAGCGCGUUGGACUUCUAAUCCAAAGGUUGUGGGUUCGAAUCCCGCCGGUGGUA
rfam:Theileria parva strain Muguga chromosome 2 chr2_complete, whole genome shotgun sequence.